UACGUAGGCAGCGAGCGUUGUUCGGAGUUACUGGGCGUAAAGAGUGCGUAGGCGGUUUUCUAAGUUUGGUGUGAAAUCUCCCGGCUCAACUGGGAGGGUGCGCCGAAUACUGAAUGACUUGGAGUGCGGGAGAGGUGAGUGGAAUUCCUGGUGUAGCGGUGAAAUGCGUAGAUAUCAGGAGGAACACCGGUGGUGCAGACGGCUCACUGGACCGUAACUGACGCUGAGACACGAAGGCGUGGGUAGCAAGCAGG
rnacentral:rRNA from 1 species